rnacentral:rRNA from 1 species
UACAGAGGUCUCAAGCGUUGUUCGGAUUCAUUGGGCGUAAAGGGUGCGUAGGUGGCGGGGCAAGUCAGGUGUGAAAUCUCGAGGCUCAACCUCGAAACUGCACUUGAUACUGCCUUGCUAGAGUACUGGAGAGGAGAUUGGAAUUUACGGUGUAGCAGUGAAAUGCGUAGAUAUCGUAAGGAAGACCAGUGGCGAAGGCGAAUCUCUGGACAGUUACUGACACUGAGGCACGAAGGCCAGGGGAGCAAACGGG